rnacentral:rRNA from 1 species
CACCGCCCGUCACAUCACGAAAGUUUGUUGCUCUUGAAGUCACCCAGCUAACCGCAAGGAGGCAGGUGCCGACGGAGUGGCUGGCGAUUGGGGUG